AUUCGUAACAAGGUCUCCGUAGGUGAACCUGCGGAGGGAUCAUUACACAAAUAUGAAGGCGGGCUGGAACCUCUCGGGGUUACAGCCUUGCUGAAUUAUUCACCCUUGUCUUUUGCGUACUUCUUGUUUCCUUGGUGGGUUCGCCCACCACUAGGACAAACAUAAACCUUUUGUAAUUGCAAUCAGCGUCAGUAACAAAUUAAUAAUUACAACUUUCAACAACGGAUCUCUUGGUUCUGGCAUCGAUGAAGAACGCAGCGAAAUGCGAUAAGUAGUGUGAAUUGCAGAAUUCAGUGAAUCAUCGAAUCUUUGAACGCACAUUGCGCCCUUUGGUAUUCCAAAGGGCAUGCCUGUUCGAGCGUCAUUUGUACCCUCAAGCUUUGCUUGGUGUUGGGCGUCUUGUCUCUAGCUUUGCUGGAGACUCGCCUUAAAGUAAAUUGGCAGCCGGCCUACUGGUUUCGGAGCGCAGCACAAGUCGCACUCUCUAUCAGCAAAGGUCUAGCAUCCAUUAAGCCUUUUUUUUCAACUUUUGACCUCGGAUCAGGUAGGGAUACCCGCUGAACUUAAGCAUAUCAAUAAUUCG
rnacentral:rRNA from 1 species